UCCGCAUAAAAUUAUGGAAUCGCAUGGUUCUGUAAUCAAAGGAGCAAUCCGCUUUGAGAUGGGCCCGCGGCGCAUUAGCUAGUUGGUAAGGUAAAGGCUUACCAAGGCGACGAUGCGUAGCCGACCUGAGAGGGUGAUCGGCCACAUUGGAACUGAGACACGGUCCAGACUCCUACGGGAGGCAGCAGUGGGGAAUAUUGCGCAAUGGGGGAAACCCUGACGCAGCAACGCCGCGUGAGUGAUGAAGGCCUUAGGGUUGUAAAGCUCUGUUAUCUGGGACGAUAAUGACGGUACCAGAGGAGGAAGCCACGGCUAACUACGUGCCAGCAGCCGCGGUAAUACGUAGGUGGCGAGCGUUGUCCGGAUUUACUGGGCGUAAAGAGUGCGUAGGCGGAUGUUUAAGUGAGAUGUGAAAUACCCGAGCUCAACUUGGGUGCUGCAUUUCAAACUGGGCAUCUAGAGUGCAGGAGAGGAAAGCGGAAUUCCUAGUGUAGCGGUGAAAUGCGUAGAUUUAA
rnacentral:rRNA from 1 species